UACGGAGGAUCCGAGCGUUAUCCGGAUUUAUUGGGUUUAAAGGGUGCGCAGGCGGGAGAUUAAGUCGGCGGUGAAAUUUUGCAGCUCAACUGUAAAAGUGCCUUCGAAACUGGUUUCCUUGAGUGUAGAUGAAGUAGGCGGAAUUUGUGGUGUAGCGGUGAAAUGCUUAGAUAUCACGAGGAACUCCGAUUGCGCAGGCAGCUUACUAAACUACUACUGACGCUCAGGCACGAGGGCGUGGGAGUCAAACAGGAUUAGAUACCCGGGUAGGUCCCUGA
rnacentral:rRNA from 1 species